rnacentral:lncRNA from 1 species
GGAAACCCCAGCAGGUCCCGAGACACGCCCUGCACUCCCCCUGCGUCCGCAGCAGGCCCAGCCCAGGGCGGGUGGUUCUGUCACCUCUCCUCGCCCAACAAAUCAGAAGUGACCACCAGGGCAUGUGACACUUUCGGGCCUUUGAACUGUUCCGCCGCAGUGGGCUGCAGAUGAAACGACACCAAAGAAGAGAUGAGUUGACACCUCCUGCAAACAG